rnacentral:rRNA from 1 species
UACGUAGGGCGCAAGCGUUAUCCGGAAUUAUUGGGCGUAAAGAGCUCGUAGGCGGUUUGUCGCGUCUGCCGUGAAAGUCCGGGGCUCAACUCCGGAUCUGCGGUGGGUACGGGCAGACUAGAGUGAUGUAGGGGAGACUGGAAUUCCUGGUGUAGCGGUGAAAUGCGCAGAUAUCAGGAGGGACACCGGUGGCGAAGGCGGAUCUCUGGGCCAUUACUGACGCUGAGGAGCGAAAGCGUGGGGAGCGAACAGG